rnacentral:rRNA from 1 species
UUACACAUGCAAGUCGAACGAUGAUGCCCAGCUUGCUGGGUGGAUUAGUGGCGAACGGGUGAGUAACACGUGAGUAACCUGCCCUUGACUUCGGGAUAACUCCGGGAAACCGGGGCUAAUACCGGAUAUGAGCUACCUUCGCAUGGGGGUGGUUGGAAAGUUUUUCGGUCAAGGAUGGGCUCGCGGCCUAUCAGCUUGUUGGUGGGGUGAUGGCCUACCAAGGCGACGACGGGUAGCCGGCCUGAGAGGGCGACCGGCCACACUGGGACUGAGACACGGCCCAGACUCCUACGGGAGGCAGCAGUGGGGAAUAUUGCACAAUGGGCGAAAGCCUGAUGCAGCGACGCCGCGUGAGGGAUGAAGGCCUUCGGGUUGUAAACCUCUUUCAGCAGGGAAGAAGCGCAAGUGACGGUACCUGCAGAAGAAGCGCCGGCUAACUACGUGCCAGCAGCCGCGGUAAUACGUAGGGCGCAAGCGUUGUCCGGAAUUAUUGGGCGUAAAGAGCUCGUAGGCGGUUUGUCGCGUCUGGUGUGAAAACUCGAGGCUCAACCUCGAGCUUGCAUCGGGUACGGGCAGACUAGAGUGCGGUAGGGGAGACUGGAAUUCCUGGUGUAGCGGUGGAAUGCGCAGAUAUCAGGAGGAACACCGAUGGCGAAGGCAGGUCUCUGGGCCGCAACUGACGCUGAGGAGCGAAAGCAUGGGGAGCGAACAGGAUUAGAUACCCUGGUAGUCCAUGCCGUAAACGUUGGGCACUAGGUGUGGGGCUCAUUCCACGAGUUCCGUGCCGCAGCAAACGCAU